rnacentral:rRNA from 1 species
UAGGGAAUCUUCGGCAAUGGACGAAAGUCUGACCGAGCAACGCCGCGUGAGUGAAGAAGGUUUUCGGAUCGUAAAACUCUGUUGGUAGAGAAGAACGUUGGUGAGAGUGGAAAGCUCAUCAAGUGACGGUAACUACCCAGAAAGGGACGGCUAACUACGUGCGAG